CUGAGGCCCUGGAGUGUGUUCAACGAAGGGCAACAGUGCUGGUGAGGGGUCUGGAGCACAGGCCUUAUGAGGAGUGGCUGAAGGAGCUGGGAUUGUUCAGUCUGGAGAAUAGGAGGCUCAAGGGAGACCUUAUUGCUCUCUAUAACUACCUGAAGGGUUGGCCUCUUCUCUUGUGUGACUAGUGAUAGGACUAGAGGGAAUGGCUUCAAGCUGCACAAGGGGAAGGUUCAGGCUGGAUGUUAGGAAAUACUACUUCUCUGAAAGGGUGGUCAGGCACUGGAAUGGGCUGCCCAGAGAGGUGGUGGAGUCACCGAGCCUGGUGGUGUUCAAAGAGCGUUUGGAUGUUGUGUUGAGGGACAUGGUUUAGCGAGAACCAUUGGUGAAGGGCGAAUGAAUGGUUGGACUGGAUGAUCCUGUGGGUCUUUUCCAACCUUAGUGAUUCUAUGAUUCUAUGAUUCUAUGAUUAUUUUUUUUGGCCUUGAAAAAAAAAGAAACCCUCAGAUAAUUUAGCGCAGACUAUAAGUAUGAUCUUAGCUAGCGAGACUGGGUUAG
ensembl:lncRNA